rnacentral:rRNA from 1 species
UACAGAGGGGGCAAGCGUUGUUCGGAAUUACUGGGCGUAAAGGGCGCGUAGGCGGCCUGUUAAGUCGAACGUGAAAUCCCCGGGCUCAACCCGGGAACUGCGUCCGAUACUGGCAGGCUUGAAUUCGGGAGAGGGAUGCGGAAUUCCUGGUGUAGCGGUGAAAUGCGCAGAUAUCAGGAGGAACACCGGUGGCGAAGGCGGAUCUCUGGGCCUUACCUGACGCUCAGGUGCGAAAGCUAGGGGAGCGAACAGG